GGCAGUGAGCUGGAGGGGCCGCGGCGGCGCCGGGGGUGCCAGCCGCCUCCUCUGGCCGCCGGCCCGUCGGCCCUGCAAAGUUUAACGCCAAUUCCCCUUGCGUCCUGGGAGCCGAGCGUUUUCUCUCCCUGCUGACGCUCCCAGCAGCUCUGCCUGGCCAGGCCAGGCUGGAGAGCACCCGGACCAUUUUCCAGACGGUGUGAUGGAGCCCUGGAAACCGAGCUUAUGAGCAGCCCGGAGCUUUCCAUUGCCUGCCCAGCCUUCCAGAUACAUCCCAGUUCCAGUUCUUUCCAGAGCCCUCUGGGAUCCAGCCAGCCUGCUUCCCCGCCAGGGCCCCGCUGCUUCCAAAGCUACUUCCCAGAAAUUUGGUGGCUGCCUCUGUGCUGUGAUUUGGUUGCUACCUGCUGAAGCUUCAACCUCUCAUCACUACCAGAAGGGCCACCAUCACUAAAAGUCCAUCAAUGGGGUUACUCACUUUGAUGGGCCUGUGCAGCGUCAUUCAGGAAGCCCGUGGUACUCACAUCACUCUGGCCAGACGCUAACAAGAAAAUGAUCCACUGUGACGCAGCCGACCCCAUCCAGUGCAUCCACAUUACCUGGAAAGAAGCAAUUAUGCCCCUUUGGUUUCCUUGGAAAUGCUUGGUCUGUCUCUACCAUCCGCCCUGGCUCUUGAGAAAUACUCAUGCACGGUAGAGCUUUGACAGGGAGACAAUGUGUUUAUUUUCAAACUGAAAGUUUACAGAAUACAAAGUGAGCCUGUAAGAUGGUGACCAUUCUCCAGAGGCUUGUUGGUCAGACAGGAAAGAAAACCAGUGCACCAUCAGGAACGUGGAGCAGGCUGAAAGAGAGGGACAAACAUAUUGGAUAGAAUCGGGCCCCCACAGUCAAGUUCCUGCAAACCCAGCUGGGAGAUUUUCCUGACUAAGGCUUAUGUUCUUGGGCCUCAAAGGUGAGAAGAAAAAUCAAUUAAAGAUACUGUGUAUAUUUAUACACUCUUUUGGCAUUAUAAACUGUAACACAUACGUUUUUCAGUCCAUAAAGAACAGCCUGCAUCAGCACAGCAGCACACAUCUAUGAGUUAUUCUAAGAUUUUUGUGUUUGGGGACCCCAUGAGUUCACGUACCCUCUGGAAUCAGCAGGUUUAUUUGGAAUCAGACAUAUCAGAACUCUGUCCUAUGUGAGUAACUUUUAAAUGUGGAUUUACUUGUCUGUAUAAGGUGAAGACUAUUAAUAACUACUUCCUAGGGUUAUUAUGGAAGUAAAAGAGGGGAUGCAUGUUCACUGCUGAACUGAUUGUCCAGCCUGUAGUAGGUGCUCAAUAAACAGGAGCAAUGAUCAUGCAUUAUAUAAAUUGUAUAUGAAAAAUAGAACCCAAAUGCUAGAAAAAUCUCUUCUCUCAUAGGGUUUAUUAUGUGUAUUUAUGGGUGUCUGUACCCAGAGGAAAGCCCAGCUGGGGUUAAGGGUGCAGAAUAAGUAAAACUUCCAAACCCAUCAGGGGCUUGGUCAAUCUGACCCAUUUUUUGUGUGAGCCUCCUCACUCGAAAUUAACUAAGGCAGCACUGCUCUGUUCAAUUACAGGAACAUUCUCCAGCCCUUUGACUUCCUCUCAAAUCUCACCACUCUCUUAGUAUGGAAUAUUGAACAGGCCAUACUGGGUCAGGUCCCUACUGAUCAAUAGCCUGUCCUUUCUCUCAGCUCCCCAGCCAACGCCCAGCUUCUGUGCCGGGGAGGAUACAGGAGGACAGACACAGCCUCUGUGUCAGGAGGAGGGAAGAAGGACUAAUGUCUGUGGACACUCUGAGGCUCACAGGGAGAAGCCACACACUCGCAGCACCAGGUCUGUGGUUUUUCAUGACCCUACACUGUCCCCUAGAAGGAAGUACCACCCAGCAGAAACAGAAGCCAAAGAAUUUCCCCAUAGAGAUCAUGGCAUGGGCUUGAGUUCAAGAACUCAAUGGACAGUGGGCAGAAAUUGGAAAGCCCAGAGCCUCCACCACUAACUCCUGUGUGACUUCUGUAAGUCCCUUGCCCUUAAUUCACUCAUAUGAAAAAUUAGGAAAAAUGAUCUCUCACUUCUGAAAUUCAAUAAUUUUAUGAUGUCAGCAACUAGACCCAAGAGAUGAUGAGUUCUACUACAGUUGUCUUGAUGAAAGUAAAAGCUGACAUUUUUUUAAGCAGCUGCUUAGAGUUUACCACUUGAGAUUUCAUGUAAUCCUUACAACCACUCUAGAAGGUUAGUAUUAUUAUAACCCAAACUCCUACCUUAUCCUGUAGGACCCUUCUGAUCUGGUCUCUCCUCCCUGUUUGGCCUUAUCUUGUACCUCCUUUUAUAAAACCCCAGCUGCAAGGAUUCUAAUCUUAGAUCUGUCUAGGACUUUCCUCUUGCCGUGUCCCUGCCUGGAAGGCCUUUCCUUCUGAUAUAUAAGCAGCUGGCUCUUCUUCCUCUUUCUGUAGCCAGCUAGACUGGCAUCUCAUCAGAGAGAACAACCUCAGCUUUAAAUCUUUCUUAGCCUCUAUCACUAUCUACAAUUAUGUCUCUUAUUUAUGUGUUUGCAGGUAUAUUAUCUCUGUUCUCCCACUAGACUUUAAGCUCAGUGGAUGCCAGGACCCUUAGAACAAAGCACAUAGCAAGUUUUCAGUGAAGUCUUGUUAACUUUCCAAUGAAGGAAUAAACGAAUGACUAUAUUUCCACUUCGCAGAUGAGUAAACAGAGGCUUGGAGGGGUGAUGAAAUUUGCCAACAGUCAUCAAUCAGUAAGUGUGACAGAAGUAGGACUGGAACCCAGGGCUGUCUGACCUCUGGCUUGAGUCUAUAACCGCUUGGCCAUACUGCCUUUCAGUUCCAGGAACAGGUGAUGCUUCCCGGCAGUGAGACUCUAAACCAGCGGGAGUUCCCAGCCAGAGACAUGAUCUAAGUGCCAAUGGCUGAAUGUCUGUGAGCAUUUCAAGUCAUUUUAAGAAUAGGUAACAUUAGCGGCACCAUUAAAGCCUGCUGUUCCUCCAGCCCAUCACUGCCAUCCUCACCUAUUAAAAUAGUGGUAUGAAAAAUAAACAGCCUUUAUGUACAAUUUU